CUGCCUUUAAUGGAUGCAGUGCUGCCAGAGGGCAUUUGUGAGCGUGACUUGGUCAGAGCUGGGUCAGGAGAUCUUCCUGGUGACAGCACGAACAGUGGGCAGGGGAGGAAGGGUGGGUCCUCCAAGCAAGAGCGAAUCAGCCCUGACUUGGGGCUGCUGAGAGGAUGGUGAGAGGAGGAGGGCACCGGAGGCACUGAGGUUGGGAGCACAGGUGGGGCUGAUGGUAGAUUCCAAGGCAAAGCAGGGACUGAGGCGAAGGUGCUUGGGAGGAAGGCUGCUUCAGUGCUGGCUCUGCCGAAUCUGUGUUGGUGGGAGACAUGUGGAUGCUGCCCUUUGGCAGGAGUGGGCAAUGAGCACCAGAACUUGAGAGAAUCAGAGGACACCAGCAAGAUGGAGAGAGAGGAUGGCUGAGUAGAAGCCAUGGAGUUUACCAACUCGGCCACUGGUCACUUUCCUGAGAGUCAUUUCAGUGGAACAGUAUUGGCUGAAGGCCACAUGGCCAUUUGUGAAGGUUGAAUGUGUGGGGAUGGGCUUGGGCUAUGCAUUUGCAGGGAGGACUAAGGCUUUCUGGUUUUGUUUUUAAGAAACAUGGGGGCUGGGCACAGUGGCUCGUGCCUGUAAGCCCAGCACUUUGGGAACCUGAGGCAGGAGGAUCACUUGAGCCCAGGAGUUCCAGACCAGUUUGGGCCAUAUAGGGAGACCCCCAACUUUAUAAAUAUAUAUAUAUAUAUUAGCUGGA
rnacentral:lncRNA from 10 species